rnacentral:rRNA from 1 species
AUUGAACGCUGGCGGCAUGCUUUACACAUGCAAGUCGAACGGCAGCGCGGGCUUCGGCCUGGCGGCGAGUGGCGAACGGGUGAGUAAUACAUCGGAACGUGCCCAGUAGUGGGGGAUAGCUCGGCGAAAGCCGGAUUAAUACCGCAUACGACCUGAGGGUGAAAGCGGGGGAUCUUCGGACCUCGCGCGAUUUGAGCGGCCGAUGGCAGAUUAGCUAGUUGGUGGGGUAAAGGCCUACCAAGGCGACGAUCUGUAGCUGGUCUGAGAGGACGACCAGCCACACUGGGACUGAGACACGGCCCAGACUCCUACGGGAGGCAGCAGUGGGGAAUUUUGGACAAUGGGCGAAAGCCUGAUCCAGCAAUGCCGCGUGUGUGAUGAAGGCCUUCGGGUUGUAAAGCACUUUUGGCGGGAACGAAAAGGACUGUGCCAAUACCACGGUUCGAUGACGGUACCCGCAGAAUAAGCACCGGCUAACUACGUG